rnacentral:rRNA from 1 species
AACGAAUGCUGGCGGCAGGCUUAACACAUGCAAGUCGAGCGGACCAAUAGAAGCUUGCUUCUGUUGGUUAGCGGCAGACGGGUGAGUAACACGUGGGCAACCUGCCUGUAAGACUGGGAUAACUUCGGGAAACCGGAGCUAAUACCGGAUAAUUCAUCCCCUCGCAUGAGGGGAUGCUGAAAGUCGGUUUACGCUGACACUUACAGAUGGGCCCGCGGCGCGUUAGCUAGUUGGUGAGGUAAUGGCUCACCAAGGCGACGAUGCGUAGCCGACCUGAGAGGGUGAUCGGCCACACUGGGACUGAGACACGGCCCAGACUCCUACGGGAGGCAGCAGUAGGGAAUCUUCCACAAUGGACGAAAGUCUGAUGGAGCAACGCCGCGUGAGCGAUGAAGGCCUUCGGGUCGUAAAGCUCUGUUGCUAGGGAAGAACAAGUAUCGGAGUAACUGCCGGUACCUUGACGGUACCUAACCAGAAAGCCACGGCUAACUACGUGCCAGCCGCCGCAGUAAGAC